GCUUGCAAGUAAUUUCUGAUAUUUAUGCUCAAUUUCGAUGUUCAACCUUUGGUUAAGACCUCGCCUUGUUUCUCAUAAGUAAUAGCAAAACUUACAACGCUAAGCCAAAAUGUUUGGCAAUAAUUACUAAUGAAUUUUAUAGGAUAUAACUAUGUCUACUACUACUGGUACCGUUAAAUGGUUCAACGAAUCUAAAGGCUUCGGCUUCAUUUCACAAGAAUCAGGUCCAGAUGUGUUCGCACACUUCAGCGCAAUCAACGGCAACGGUUUCAAAACUCUUGCUGAAGGCCAAAAAGUUGAGUUCACUGUAACUCAAGGUCAAAAAGGUCCUCAAGCUGAGAACAUCACUGUAGUUUAAUUGCUAAACUAACGGAUAUUUAAAAAGGGUAAGCUUGCUUACCCUUUUUUGU
rnacentral:sRNA from 1 species